GAUGAAGAACGUAGCGAAAUGCGAUACGUGGUGUUAAUUGCAGAAUCCCGUGAACCAUCGAGUCUUUGAACGCAAGUUGCGCCCGAAGCCAUUAGGCCGAGGGCACGCCUGCCUGGGCGUCACACGUCGUUGCCCCCCCAUCUACUCCUUCGGGAUUGCGGGGGGCGGAUGAUGGCCUCCCGUGCGCCUCGUCGCGCGGUUGGCAUAAAUGCCAAGUCCUCGGCGACGCACGCCACGACAAUCGGUGGUUGCGAAACCUCGGUUGCCCGUCGUGUGCGGUCGUCGCGCAUCGAGGGCUCGAAAAAAUUGCCGGGCUCCGGCUCGGCUUUCAACGCGACCCCAGGUCAGGCGGGGUUACCCGCUGAAUUUAAGCAUAUCAAUAAGCGGAGGA
rnacentral:misc_RNA from 1 species